rnacentral:rRNA from 1 species
UAAAAAAUUUUGGCGGUAUUUUAAGCUUAUUAGAGGAAUUUGCUCUGUGAUGGACACAACGCCUUAAUCUUACUUAAUUUAGUAAUUUAAAUCAGUUUGUAUACCACUAUAUUAAUUAUAUUGAAUAGUUAUAUUUAAAAUUUUUUUUAAAAAAUAUAUUAAGUCAAGGUGCAUCUAAUAAUUAUGAAUGAAGUGAAUUACAUUAAUUUUAAUGUAAUUUUUUCAUGAAAAAAUUAAUUAGGAUUUAAUAGUAAAAUACUAAUAUUAUGAGUAUUUGAAUCAAGCUCUAAAAUAUGCACAUAUCGCCCGUCGCUCUCAGAAGUGAGAUAAGUCGUAACAAAGUAAAAAUACUGGAAAGUGUUUUUUAAAAUGAAAUCAUUUGAUGUUUCAUUUACAAUGAAAAUUUUGUUGUUUAACCAUUUUAA